GGGGGUGCUUUGGUUUCGACAGGGUUACCGAAGUGUUAGUUGCAAGUCGAGGUCUCAGACGAGGGCAACUCGUUAAAAAGUCUGAAAAAAAAUAAGUGCUGACGAAAACGGCCUCAUCCCGCUCCCAUCGGGGUGUACGUCCGGACGCAAUAUGGGAUAGGAUGCCUGCAUGCCUGGGGUGCGUGUCCGAGAUUUACUAGGCUGGUCAAACUCCGCGCCGACCUUCUUGGGCGUGGAUAAGACGAGAUUUCAAAUGCGAAGGGAACGCUUGUAGGAACGUACAUGGACGUGAUUUUGGACAGGAGUUCGACUCUCCUCACCUCCA
rnacentral:tmRNA from 1 species